GCUUGGGGUGGCUUCCCGCGGCUUCAUCCUGGGACUCAAGUUCCCUUCAAAAUGCAGGAGAAUGCUCACAUCUCUAGACGUCCAACUUACAAUCACCCUUAAAAAGACAGCCCCUUCUCCCUACCCUGGGAUUGAACAGCGGGAAGAAGGUGGGUGUCCGACAGCUGGGGCUUCUCUCUCCUCCACGUUCCGGAAGGAGAACUGUCUGGGAGAAAGGAGAGAAUCAGCAGAAAAUGAAGAAACGAAAUUUCGAGAUUCAUCAAGUUAGAGCCACAAUUUUGAGGCAGGUGACUUGGUCUGACUUCCUGACUUCCCUUGGUGGUCUGAUCUGUAAAACGGGCAGGACAGCCAACGCGGUCACCGUGAGCAGGAAAGGGGAGGACCGCAGCCUGCCGUCCUUCCACAGGCUCCGAACSGCUUUCCUGCUCCUCUGUCCCCUUCUCGCCUCGGCAGAACGGGGCUGUGCACUGGUUUCCCUGGAAAAUCCUUCUUAUUAAAUGGCAGAGAGGCCACCGAGUACAGGAGUUUMAAGUUUGUCCCUGAAGGCAGAAGAUCUUUCUGAACCUGGCCAUCUUGUUGACCUUGGGAAAGUUCAUGCAUCUCUCUGGAGAUGGUGAAUGUGACUGCGAAGUUAGAUGUUUAUAGAUCACAGGUGGCCCUGGAUACACCCUGUGUGGCUUAAUGACGGGGUGUGUUCCAAGAACCGKGUCACCAGGGACUCACCAUCCUAUUUAGGAUCUGUCAUUUACCAACACUUUGUUAUAUGAAGUGUGGUCGCAGCAUACAUAAAGUCAUGGCUAUUUUUAUCUUUCCAAGAUGCAAAUACGAUAGGUCAUGUCCCCUGCCGUCUUCACGGAUCGCCCAGUCCUCCGAAUAAAGCAAAUCCCACGCAUGUCCUCA
rnacentral:lncRNA from 1 species